rnacentral:rRNA from 1 species
GGAAACGACUGCUAAUACCGCAUANGCCCUACGGGGGAAAGGAGGGGACCUUCGGGCCUUCCGCGAUUGGAUGAACCUAGGUGGGAUUAGCUAGUUGGUGAGGUAAUGGCUCACCAAGGCGACGAUCCCUAGCUGUUCUGAGAGGAUGAUCAGCCACACUGGGACUGAGACACGGCCCAGACUCCUACGGGAGGCAGCAGUGGGGAAUAUUGCACAAUGGGCGAAAGCCUGAUGCAGCCAUGCCGCGUGUGUGAAGAAGGCCUUCGGGUUGUAAAGCACUUUCAGUAGGGAGGAAAGGNUGUUACUUAAUACGUAAUAUCUGUGACGUUACCUACAGAAGAAGGACCGGCUAACUCCGUGCCAGCAGCCGCGGUAAUACGGAGGGUCCGAGCGUUAAUCGGAAUUACUGGGCGUAAAGCGUGCGCAGGCGGUUUGUUAAGCCAGAUGUGAAAUCCCCGGGCUCAACCUGGGAAUUGCAUUUGGAACUGGCGAACUAGAGUCUUGUAGAGGGGGGUAGAAUUCCAGGUGUAGCGGUGAAAUGCGUAGAGAUCUGGAGGAAUACCGGUGGCGAAGGCGGNCCCCUGGACAAAGACUGACGCUCAUGCACGANAGCGUGNGGAGCANACAGGAUUAGAUACNCUGNUAGUCCACGCCGUANACGAUGUCUACUC